GCCACCUUUCCUUUGUCCCUCCACAUCUCCCUUAUAUAUAGUAGAUGGACUUAACCUCUGUGUCUCCUUUUGCUAGUGCCUCCGUCUCCCUUCCUCUUCAUUCUUUGUUGGUUUUCUUUCCAUUCUAUUGCUGACCCCAACUGCUCACCACAAACAAGGGCUCCAGAACUGCUUCAAAAUUUUUUCUAAGUCUCAGAGGUGGCUUCGUCUGGAAAGAUUACAAGAACCAAAGGUGAAGUUGUUGGUGUACAUUCAGACUUAAGCACAGAUGGCGCUUCCUGUUUGGUAACACCUCACGUGGGCUCCUCGUCCCCCACCAACUCUGCCAGUCACCAUCCCACACAGUCAAGCAUGCACAGGAUUACAGGUUUGCCAAGAACACAUCCUCGUGUCUGCCAAGGAGUGCCUGUUGGAGGAAGAAUUCGAACAGAGGAUGUUCAGAGGGGAUGCAGAGAUACAUUUUGGACACUAAGAAAGUAAAAAACUUAUGAAAUCAAAUAGCAAUAGCCUGGCUUAACAAGCAA